AGAAUCACCCUGGAAACGAGUUUCUGGCGUGCUUCUUGCAAGGAAGGUCAAAGCAAAGAGAAGAGUAACCAGUUCACGGAUAAAAAUAAUCUGGAAGACUUUGCUACAGUGUGGGGAAACCUCAUGAGAUUCAGGGUUAUCCUGAAGAUGAGGGCGGGCCUCCUCCUCCUCCUGCAGACCCCACGCUGUGAGCUGAAUUUUGCUCAGGAAGAGUGACCAAAUACAAGAUCUUUUGAGAGAAUAUGAAUGCGUACAUGUUUCAGUCCGAGAUGACACAGCUUCUACCACCAAGUAGACUCUCAGACAUGACAGCAUCUUUACUAUAAGGUGACCCUUCUGUAGUUUUCACCUGCCCAUAUAAAGCCCAGGAAUACUGACGCCAGGAAUCUUACCAUGCCAGCCAGAAUAUAAUUCGUAUCUCCAUUUAUCAUCCAUUAGAAUAGAACUCAAAUCUCCUAAAUUACAGGGAAGGCAAGAAAGCACUUCUGGGAUAUUUGGCCAAUACUUCAAGAAAGAAUCAUUGUAUAAAAGAGGACACUAGUAGCCCGUGUUUUCAAGUUGUUACAUAGAUUCUUUGUGAUCCACUUCGCAG
ensembl:processed_transcript